rnacentral:lncRNA from 1 species
CUUGGCUGAUUAACUAGGAAAGCUAGUGGAGGGCUACCUUACCCGAAAGGGGCAAGGGCAGUAGGGGAGUGGUCAGUGUAGGGAGGUCCUUGUUUGAUUUUGCUGCGAUGGCGGUCAGGCAAGAACCCUGCACUGGAGCUUCCUAUAAACUGUAGCGGGUAGUCUGAAGCUAUUAGAACUUUGUAAAGGCCUCGUAGUGUUACCCUGCCUCGCCUCCUCGGUAGAGGUGUAUGGGAUUGGCCAUCUCUUGGCAGAUGGGUAACAUGACUUGUGGGUAAAGAUGCGCAACCUCUGCAGAGUGUAAAACUAGUAUACUAGUCGUGCUCACGGUCAUGAGCGGCUCGGACCCUCACAUGAUUAAUUAUGGAACUUAAAUUUAAUUUGACAUUUGCAUCGCAUUUGGGAUUAUUUUACUAUUACUGUUCUUUAUUAUUAUUAAGGUUUGGUAUUUACUUACACUUAGUAAUUGCUAAUAAAAUUUUGACCAACUUAUAAAAGCAAUGCUCAGCCUCAGCCUUUAUUUCAUUGAUCAGCCUUACACUACAUGAACUCCCACCUUUGGUGAGUUCAUGCCACAUUAUUCCCCACGACUUGUUGAGCUAUGAACGUAUGUGAGCUCACUCUUGCUGUCUCACACCCCCCCCACAUGAGAAGAACAGGUGGUUGAAGUGGAGCCGCCUAACACUGAGGAGUUCGAUCUGAUCUAGGUGGCGUUUCUCAGCCGACAUUGGCGCCGACGAUCCUUAGUUCGUUUUAUGGUUAUUCCUUUAUUUUGUAAUAAGUCUUCCGCUAUGUAAUAAAUACUCUGAUGUUUUAUGACAUUUAUCUCUAUACACUCUGUUAUUAUAUAUGUUGUCUUCUUGGCGCAUGUAUGAGAUGCACCCGGCUUUGUCCUUUAAAACCGGGUGUUACAGAAGUGGUAUCAGAGGAAAUGUUGACUGUAGGACGAAACCUAGAUAGAAAUGGACAAAACCCUUACCUACUUAGCUUAUUCUGAUUCAUUCUAUACUCGUCUCAUCUUGGUCUUGUCUCACCUUCUGCUGUUCUACUCUGAUCAUUCUUACCUUUUCUACUCUGAGACAAGAUGGACUUCACACCUUGGAAUCCUACCAUUAUGACCUUCUUAAGAGAUAGGGAACCUAAGACAAAAUCAAAACUAUUUUCUCUAUUUAAAAUGUUGGUUGAUUGUUAUGAUGAUAAAUGUCUGAUUUGCUUCUUUGAUUGAUUGAAACAUUAUAGUUGGGCAUCUUAGCAUGUACCACCAUAAGGUAAUGUAUUAGCUAUAGUAGGUGGAAUAUUAAUCUGCUUAGCUAAUAAAUCCCCCAAAAUAACCUGAUUUGUAAGUACCUGCCUUGGCUACUAUUCUCUUACCAUAUGUAUCUAACUCAGAUGGUCAAUACCAGGAAAGGAAAGAUUAUCACGCAACAGCAAACAGAAAUGAAUCCUCCAAAUCCUCCACCUGUUGAAACCGAUCAAGUGAUUGCAGCCCAAAGGCUGGUAAUACAACAAUUGACAGACAUGGUGACUGAAAUGCAAAACCAGAUAAGACAAGAACGCGAGGAAAUACGUCAGGCCCGUCUGGAGAUACAUCAAGAAAUAAGGCAAUCACGGUUGGAGAGACAACGACAACAACCACCAUCUCCACCACCACCAGCUCCACCAAGCUACAUAAACAUAUAUAUAAAUUACUACUAUUUGUAAGCUCUACAUGUUUCUUUAGUUAGUAUUCGGUAUGAUACUAUUUUAGGAGGAAUAAAAAGGUCUAUUUGACCCCAUGAGUUGCUAAUAAAAUUGUGCGUCAUGCUGAGAUUUUGGUUGUGCACAUGUGUUGGACAAUAUGAGAAAACCCAUGAGAGUAAUUACACCUAAAGGGCCUAUUGAGGCGAAUCAAAUGACUCGUAGAUUGACAUGGACCAUUAUGGGUAGAGAAUUUGGAGCUACUGCUAUAAUAUUAGAGGCAAGCAGUAUAGAUCUGAUCCUUGGUAUGUCAUGGCUAAGAAAGGCAAAGGCCGUUAUAGCAUGUGGUAGAAGUACCGUAGAACUCACUACCACUAAAGGAGAAAGAUUUCAAGUUAAUAUUGCAGUAACCUCCUCACCCAUGCGUGCAAUGUUCUUUACACCUGAGGAGUUUGUUGGUGACAACAUCCGGGUGGUUAGAGAUUUUCCGGAUGUCUUUCCAGAGGAGUUACCAGGGAUGCCACCUGAUAGAGAAGUUGAGUUUGUUAUUGAUCUCUUACCUGGAACCGCCCCUAUUUCUAAACGGCCAUAUAGGAUGUCCGUAGAGGAGUUGAAGGAACUUAAGAAGCAGUUAACUGAGUUACAAGAUGUUGGGUACAUUCGUCCGAGUUCCUCACCUUGGGGAGCACCGGUCUCGUUUGUACAGAAGAAGGAUGGAUCGCAGCGGAUGUGUGAGGAUUAUAGAUCUCUUAAUGAUGUUACAGUGAAGAACAAGUAUCUGUUGCCCCGUAUUGAGGAUUUAUUUGAUCAGAUGAGAGGUGCAAGAGUAUUUUCGAAGAUUGAUCUCCGAUCCGGUUACCAUCAGAUGAGGAUUAGACCAUCGGAUAUUCCCAAGACGGCUUUCUCGACUCGAUAUGGAUUAUAUGAGUUUACUGUUAUGUCGUUUGGAUUAACCAAUGCGCCAGCUUAUUUUAUGAACUUAAUGAACAAGGUGUUUAUGGAGUAUUUGGACAGAUUCGUCGUGGUAUUCAUCGACGAUAUUCUUAUCUAUUCUAAGAGUGAUAGUGAUCACGAGGAACAUCUAAGGAUGGUGCUACAGAAGCUACGAGAUAACCAGCUAUAUGCCAAGUUCAGCAAGUGCGAGUUUUGGAUUGGCGAGGUGCCAUUUCUUGGUCAUAUUAUUUCUAAUGGAGGAAUAGCAGUGGAUCCUGCUAAAGUGAAGGAGAUAAUGGAGUGGAGAGUGCCCACUACAGUUACUGAGAUUCGGAGUUUCUUGGGACUCGCAGGAUAUUAUUGGAGAUUUAUUGAAGGAUUUUCUAAGAUUGCUAAGCCUAUGACUUCGCUUCUGGAGAAGGGAAGAGAGUUCAAGUGAGAUGAGAAGUGCCAAGAUAGCUUUGAUCAAUUAAAGAAGAGGUUGAUGUCACCACAAGUGCUGGUUAUGCCAGAUCUACAGAAGGGAUUUGACAUUUAAUGUGAUGCAUGUGGCCAAGGACUUGGAUGUGUGCUCAUGCAGGAAGGACAUGUGAUUGCCUAUGCAUCUCGUCAGAUGCGGAAGCAUGAACUGAACUACCCCACUCAUGACUUGGAACUAGCAGCCGUUGUGCAUGCGCAUAAGAUUUGGAGACAUUAUAUUAUGGGAACCAAGUGUCAAGUAUAUACGGAUCAUAAGAGUUUGAAGUAUAUAUUCACUCAGAAGGAUCUCAACCUUAGGCAAUGCCGUUGGUUGGAGCUCAUUAAGGAUUAUGAUUUGGAGAUUCACUAUCACCCGGGCAAGGCAAAUUUGGUUGCAGAUGCCUUGAGUCGAAAGGAGCAUGUUCAUUCAGCUAUUGUUGCCUAGCUACCCGAUGAGAUUGUUGAGGAUUUCAGGAGACUUAACCUAGGGAUAGUUGCUCAUACUGAAGGAGUUACUAUUGAUGUGGAACCUACUUUGGAGCAAGAGAUCCGCAAGGGACAAAUUGGUGAUGCUAAGAUAUAAGAGAUUAAGGAUCUGAUUACUGAAGGUCGAGUUCCGGAGUUUACCGAAGAUGAGCAGGACACUGUAUGGUUCAAGGACAGGAUGUGUGUUCCUGAUAUUAAAAGCCUUCGAGAGACUAUUUUAAAGGAGGCCCAUGAUUCAGACUAUUCUAUUCAUCCUGGUAGCACCAAGAUGUAUCAGAAUUUGAAGCAGAAAUAUUGGUGGUACGGAUUAAAGAGGGAUGUGGCUGCACAUGUGGCUAUGUGCGAUGUGUGUCAAGGAGUUAAGGCUGAACAUCAGAGGCUAGCUGGACUACUACACCCAUUAAAGCUACCCGAGUGGAAGUGAGAAGAGAUUGGUAUGGAUUUAUUUACUGGAUUGCCUCACACCUCGAAAGGAUAUGAUUCUAUAUGGGUUAUUAUGGAUAGACUGACCAUAGUGGCUCAUUUCCUUCCGGUCAAGACUACUUAUAAGGGAUCUUAAGUGGCAGAGUUAUAUAUGGCUCGGAUUAUGUCUCGACACGGGGUGCCGAAGAAGAUCAUUUUGGAUAGAGGACCAUAGUUUACCCCCAAAUUUUUGGAAAAGUAUUCAUGAGAAUAUGGAUACGAAGUUGAAUUUUAGUUCGGCCUACCAUCGUCAGACUGAUGGAUAGACUGAAAGGACUAAUCAAGUAUUGGAGGACAUGUUGAGAAAUUGUACCCUUCAGCAUGGUAGUAGUUGGGACAAGAGUCUACCUUAUGCUGAGUUCUCAUAUAAUAACAGUUACCAGGCCAGUCUGAAGAUGUCACUGUUCGAGACUCUAUUUUGGACUAGACUCGAGGAAGGCAGUUCUUUGGGCCUGAAUUGAUUCAAGAAGCAGAAGAACAAGUUCGUAUAAUUCGAGAGAAUUUGAGGGUAGCUCAGACCAGACAAAAGAGCUACGCUGAUAAUAGAAGACCACUGGAAUUUGAGGAAGGUGAUCAUGUGUACCUCAAGAUGUCACCACUUCGUGGAAUGAGGAGAUUCAAAGUUAAUGGCAAAUGGUCCCCCUCACUUUAUUGUACCACUCUGAGUUUUUAGGCAAGUUGGAGAGAUGGCCUAUCAACUCGAGUUACCUGCUAGUCUAUCGGAUGUGCAUAAUGUAUUUCAUGUGACUCAACUUAAGAGGUGACUCCGUGUCCCUGAGAAAUAGUUACCAAUGGAAGAGCUCAGUGUUCAGGGUGAUUUGACUUACACGUAGUAUCCUAUCAAGAUUCUCGAUACACUGACUCGAGUUACAAGAAAUAAGGUGAUAAAGAUGUGCAAAGUCCAAUGGAGUCACCAUAGAGAAGAUGAAGCAACUUGGGAAAGAGAAGAAGAGCUUCGUAUAGAUUUUCCCCACCUUUUCCCUAGAUCUUCCUAAAUCUCGAGGACGAGAUUAAUUUUAAGGGGGGUAGGAUUUGUAAUACCCACUUUGUAAGAAAAGUCUAAAAAGAGAAAUUAUAUUACUUUGUAUCUAUAUGUGUUAACUAUGUUUAUCAUGUCAUGUGAACACCACAAUUAAACAAAUAAAUAGGUGACAAAAGACACUAAAAAUGAUACAUGCAUCAUGCUGGGAAUUUAUUUUGUGUGCAUUUUGUGACAACAGGAAAUAAUGUGAAAGGAAAUAUAUCAAAUUCUCUAAAGGGGAAUUCAAGAAUUUGAGCAGGAGAAGAAAGAAUACUAAACAAAGAUAAAUACAAUAAAUAUAAAGAAAUUAGUUAAACCUUCCUAUUUGAGUUCAACUUGUACAUUUAAAAAAAAGUGAAUAUAAGUUCACAGUUAAAAUUAAAUUCAAAUUUUAAAUUCUAGAAAUGUGGGGGAAAAGAAAAAGAUAAAGGAGAUGAAUAAGUAAAUGAUAUAUAUAAAUAAAUAUCUCCGGAGUUAAUGCCCUAAUUACACAAAUCUAAUUUGUAAGGAAGAGCAAUAGAAGGUUGAAUUAAUUUUGAAUUCAAACUGAAUUUGAAAAGGAAGAAAAGAAGGUGGAAAAUAUAAAAGAAAAAGAAUAAAUGGGGAAAAUUACUCGUGGGCCCUAAAAUGAGUUUCGGCCCAUUCAUCUGGCACUCACGCGCAGCCCGUUAUUGCCGCUCGGCUCAAUACCGCUUGCUGCUCACCGUAGUCACUGCUCCGUGGGCCCCUCUCCCUACCGCGCUCACCCGCACUCAGUUGAGGUAGCUAGCCGCCAUGUGGGCCCCUCUUGUCAUCCCGGUUGCCGCGACGGUAACAAUCCGCGCGAGUCGCACGGGAGUUUCUCCCUUUCUUGCGUUACCGUCGAAUUCGUCAGAAAUCUCGCCUCAACCCUGAGUUUAGUCGGUCGAGCUUGUCCCUGCGCCAGACUAUAAAGCUGCAGCCUGACCUAGAUGCUCCGCCGCCGCCUGCACUCCGCUGUUGCGCGCUCACUUCCCCUCCAUUCCCUUUCCGCAUCGCGCCUUGGCCGUGAACUUCACCCUCCUCCCUCAAGCCUUGUCACCGCUGGAUGAGCCACUAGUUCCCACCCGGGCCGCGUUGCAGCAACCUCCUUGUUGAAGCCCUGGAUGCCGUGUCGAGCGCCAUCGUCGCGAGUUGUGGAGGUAUCGCCGCCGCUGCUGCUCCACGGUCUGUCGUGGGCAAUAUACCUGCAGGCGCCAAACGGAGGUGAAAAUCACCCCCAAGCCUUCUGUUGUCUCGGUAAAUUGCGUACACGUAGUUUCGAAGGGGUCAGCGGGGAUUGGGGUUGGCAAUUUCUCGCCGCCGUGCGGCCGCCACCGCGGGGCCGCUCCGUACCGUAGGUGAGCUCCACGUGCACCCAUGACACCAGAAAAAUGUCCUUAGAUGAUUCGCUAGGUCCUCUGUUCCAUGUAUCUUGCACCAGGAGUAGGAAAUCAGGGCUCCGGUCUGUAAUCGGUAUUUCCCCGACCAUGCUCCGCCGUGGGGAGGAGAUUACACCGCCGUUGGGUGAACCGUGGAGAGCGAUGACCCUUCAGCCGUGGAUCUCCGUGUAGACGGUUGUGAUGGGGCGCGAGAGUGUUCCCCUUCGCACUUAGAAUCUGAUCCGUUGGCAGUUCAUCCGAGGGCUUGCGAGCGGUGAAAACGUGGUUGGAUCCGGGGCGUAGAUCUUAGAUCCUGGGGUUAGGGUUGCAUACCGGUUCGGUAUAAGUUAAAACUAAUCUGAGCGCUCCGUUUGAGAUCGGACGGUCUGGGGCGCACGAUACCCCUUCGCGACGCAUUUUUAUUAAAGAGCCCUUAUGUUUCCCCAAAAACAACCCGCAGUCCACGUAGUAGUAGUCUGUGUCUUAGGGUAUUUUGCGCCAGGGCCCCUGUGCUCUCUUGAAAAUGUGGCCCAGUCCAGAAAACUCGAAAAACAAAGAAAAUAAAUCAGAAAUGCAUUUUUAAUACAAAAAAUAAUUACUAGAACUUGUUUAAUUGGUAGAAAAUUCAUAUGAACUCCAAAUUGAACCAUUCCAGUUUCUAAACUUUUGUAAUAAUAUUCUCUAUCACCUAGUGUCUCUGUUUUGACAUGAAAACAGUAAGAAAAUUUAUUUAUCAUGUAAUCCUAUUUCAAGCACAUUAAAUCUUAGAAAAUUCAUAACUUAAAAUAUAUAACUCUAAAAAUUAUGAUUCUUGUUCCUAGGUUCUUAUUUUAAUGUGUAGAUUUUUAUUGUAUAUUUUAUUUACAUGUUUGAUGUGAUGUUAAUUUUUGCUAUACUAUGUAUGUAUUGUGUUGAUGCGAGUAGACGAGCAAGCCACUGUGGACUCUGAGGUUCAACAAGUAGAGAUAGCUGAGCAGGAGCUCAUUGAAGGCAAGUUGUGCCCUUGAUCACUUACUUUCCCCAGCCAUGUUCUUAUUAAUUUUAAUGAUCUGCAUAGGUUAAUUUUGAUGGGAUCCUUUAGGUUACCCCAGUUUUGGUUAUCUUUAUACCUUGUUCACCCCUGAAAUAUUUUUGGGUAGUACCUGCUAUUGCUUUAUGUGGAUUUGGGUAUGAAGAUACACUAUUCAUGAUUAUUCUGUUAUUAUCUUGUUAUUAUUACUGUUCAUGUUAAGAUCAUUAAAUUAAUGGGAACAUGGAGCGACCACCCGGGAAAACAGUGCUACCACAAGGGUUUAAUGGGACGCCCUUGGCUGAUUAACUAGGAAAGCUAGUGGAGGGCUACCUUACCCGAAAGGGGCAAGGGCAGUAGGGGAGUGGUCAGUGUAGGGAGGUCCUUGUUUGAUUUUGCUGCGAUGGCGGUCAGGCAAGAACCCUGCACUGGAGCUUCCUAUAAACUGUAGCGGGUAGUCUGAAGCUAGUGGAACUUUGUAAAGGCCUCGUAGUGUUACCCUGCCUCGC